AGAACGAACGCUGGCGGCAGGCUUAACACAUGCAAGUCGAACGGGCGUCGCAAGACGUCAGUGGCAGACGGGUGAGUAACACGUGGGAACCUUCCUAGGGGUACGGAACAACUCAGGGAAACUUGAGCUAAUACCGUAUACGUCCGUAAGGAGAAAGAUUUAUCGCCCCUAGACGGGCCCGCGUCGGAUUAGGUAGUUGGUGGGGUAACGGCCUACCAAGCCUACGAUCCGUAGCUGAUCUGAGAGGAUGAUCAGCCACACUGGGACUGAGACACGGCCCAGACUCCUACGGGAGGCAGCAGUGGGGAAUCUUGGACAAUGGGCGCAAGCCUGAUCCAGCCAUGCCGCGUGAGUGAAGAAGGCCUUAGGGUUGUAAAGGCUCGUUUUACCAGGACGAUAAUGACGGUACCUGGAGAAUAAGCCCGGCAAACUUCGUAGCCAGUCAGCCGAC
rnacentral:rRNA from 1 species